GGGAAUGUGGCUUAGUGGUAGAGUGCUUGCCUAGCAUGCACGAAGCCCUGGGUUCGAUUCCUCAGUACCA
rnacentral:tRNA from 1 species